AUCCCAUGGUGAGGUCAAGCCAGGAUGUAUUCUUAGAGUCUUUCCCAUGCCUCUAAAAUCGACUCAUUAUUUGCCUAGUGGAAACAUGAAAUCUUCCCACGAAGGAU
rnacentral:snoRNA from 1 species